UUACGGUCACAUCACGUUGAAACACCAGUUCCCAUACGAUCACCGAAGUUAAGCAACGUCGAACCUCGUCAGUAUCUAGAGGGGUGACCGCUUUCGAAUACCAGAUGCUGUA
rnacentral:rRNA from 1 species